rnacentral:rRNA from 1 species
AACGAACGCUAGCGGGGAGCUUCAAACAUGCAAGUCGCACGCGAAAGUGGGUUCGCCCAUUAGUAGAGUGGCGCACGGGUGCGUAACACGUAACUAACGUACCCCAUCGCUGGGGAUAACUCCGUGAAAACGGAGCUAAUACCGAAUAAUCUGUCGGGGUCUGCGGACUCUGCCGGUAAAGCCGUAAGGCGCGAUGGGACCGGGUUGCGGCCGAUUAGCUAGUUGGUGGGGUAAUGGCCCACCAAGGCAACGAUCGGUAGCUGGUCUGAGAGGAUGAUCAGCCACACUGGAACUGGAACACGGUCCAGACUCCCACGGGAGGCAGCAGUUGGGAAUAUUGGACAAUGGGAGAAAUCCUGAUCCAGCUACCCCGCGUGAGUGAUGAAGGCC